rnacentral:sRNA from 1 species
AACUAACAUUGAUUAUCAGCUGUUUUGUAAGGAAAACUUGGAAUCUAAAUAAUAUACCGUUUCCCUGCUCUGCUGCUAUUGGCAACACAUUUUUGUCAUGUCAUCUGCAACAGACGAUCAUACAUAUGUGGCGGAUUAUCGAUAUAGGUAGCAAUAGCAGUGGAAGCCCGGAUUUGCAAGCCAAAUGAGGGAAAGACAGAAUUCUGAAAAGGAGCAUGUUUUUCAUUUCCACACAUGCAUGCGUAUCACUAUGGACAUCUAAUGUAUGUAUUAAUAUGCGUAUGGUUGUUGUUUAUAAUUGCUAUUCUGAAGAGUUAAAUAUAUAUAUAAAUGCAUUCAUCAAUAAUAUGAUUUUUCAGCUUCAAACAUUAUCAUAAGCACUACUUAUCUUAUAUCUACAUAUUUAGCAUAAACUUGUUCCUUUUUUAUAUAAUUAAUUUUUCUUCGUUUAUUAAUUAAAAAAUUGAUCCCAAGAUAUUUGAGACCAUGUAAAAUAAAGAAAGACAACUCUUAAACAGGAUCUUUCAUACCAAGAUUUUUGCAAUAAUUAAGUAUUUCCUUUAUUUUUUCAAUUUCAUUCAAUUUCUUUUCUUCAUCCCAUUCACCAACGAAUAUUGUUUAUAUUUUCAGGUUUUUGUGGGAUUUUGUCCAGCAGUUUGCCUUAAAAGAAUUUUUUUAUAUUUUAGUUUCAUAUUUAUGUGGAUUCCAAUAAAAAUCAUACAAACUUC